AUGAAGAUACCUCUUAAGAAUAAAAUAUUUGCAUGGUAUCUUCAUCGCGGAGUCAUUCUUACUAAAGAUAACCUUAUCAAGAGGAAUUGGCAUGGAAGUUCCCGAUGUGUUUUUUGUCAUCAUGAUGAGACAAUAAAACAUUUAUUCUUUCAAUGCAAAUUGGCUCGGUCUAUAUGGUCAGUCAUCCAGAUAGCUUCUGGUCCGGUCUAUAGUGUUGAUAAUGUAUUUGGCAACUGA
rnacentral:rRNA from 1 species